AGCAGCCGCGGUAAUUCCAGCUCCAAUAGCGUAUAUUAAAGUUGCUGCAGUUAAAAAGCUCGUAGUUGAAUUUCGGGACUAAUAUGUUGGUCGUGCCUCGGUACGUACUGGCAUUGUUGGUUUCUACCUUCUGACGAACCAUGAUGUCAUUAAUUUGGUGUCUUGGGAAUCAGGACUGUUACUUUGAAAAAAUUAGAGUGUUUAAAGCAGGCUCACGCUUGAAUACAUUAGCAUGGAAUAAUGAAAUAGGACGUUUGAUUCUAUUUUGUUGGUUUCUAGGAUCGACGUAAUGAUUAAUAGGGAUAGUUGGGGGCAUUAGUAUUCAAUUGUCAGAGGUGAAAUUCUUGGAUUUAUUGAAGACUAACUACUGCGAAAGCAUUUGCCAAGGAUGUUUUCAUUAAUCAAGAACGAAAGUUAGGGGAUCGAAGACGAUCAGAUACCGUCGUAGUCUUAAACCAUAAACUAUGCCGACUAGGGAUCGGAUGAUGUUAAUUUUUUAAAUGA
rnacentral:rRNA from 1 species